AUUGAACGCUGGCGGCAUGCUUUACACAUGCAAGUCGAACGGUAACAGGGUGCUUGCACCGCUGACGAGUGGCGAACGGGUGAGUAAUGCGUCGGAACGUGCCGAGUAGUGGGGGAUAACGCAGCGAAAGUUGUGCUAAUACCGCAUACGUACUGAGGUAGAAAGUGGGGGACCUUCGGGCCUCACGCUAUUCGAGCGGCCGACGUCUGAUUAGCUAGUAGGUGAGGUAAGAGCUCACCUAGGCGACGAUCAGUAGCGGGUCUGAGAGGAUGAUCCGCCACACUGGGACUGAGACACGGCCCAGACUCCUACGGGAGGCAGCAGGGGGGAAUUUUGGACAAUGGGCGCAAGCCUGAUCCAGCCAUGCCGCGUGUCUGAAGAAGGCCUUCGGGUUGUAAAGGACUUUUGUCAGGGAGGAAAUCCUGGUGGUUAAUAGCUGCUAGGGAUGACAGUACCUGAAGAAUAAGCACCGGCUAACUACGUGCCAGCAGCCGCCGUAAUAC
rnacentral:rRNA from 1 species